rnacentral:rRNA from 1 species
GAUGAACGCUGGCGGCGUGCCUAAUACAUGCAAGUCGAGCGAACGGACGAGAAGCUUGCUUCUCUGAUGUUAGCGGCGGACGGGUGAGUAACACGUGGAUAACCUACCUAUAAGACUGGGAUAACUUCGGGAAACCGGAGCUAAUACCGGAUAAUAUUUUGAACCGCAUGGUUCAAAAGUGAAAGACGGUCUUGCUGUCACUUAUAGAUGGAUCCGCGCUGCAUUAGCUAGUUGGUAAGGUAACGGCUUACCAAGGCAACGAUGCAUAGCCGACCUGAGAGGGUGAUCGGCCACACUGGAACUGAGACACGGUCCAGACUCCUACGGGAGGCAGCAGUAGGGAAUCUUCCGCAAUGGGCGAAAGCCUGACGGAGCAACGCCGCGUGAGUGAUGAAGGUCUUCGGAUCGUAAAACUCUGUUAUUAGGGAAGAACAUAUGUGUAAGUAACUGUGCACAUCUUGACGGUACCUAAUCAGAAAGCCACGGCUAACUACGUGCCAGCAGCCGCGGUAAUACGUAGGUGGCAAGCGUUAUCCGGAAUUAUUGGGCGUAAAGCGCGCGUAGGCGGUUUUUUAAGUCUGAUGUGAAAGCCCACGGCUCAACCGUGGAGGGUCAUUGGAAACUGGAAAACUUGAGUGCAGAAGAGGAAAGUGGAAUUCCAUGUGUAGCGGUGAAAUGCGCAGAGAUAUGGAGGAACACCAGUGGCGAAGGCGACUUUCUGGUCUGUAACUGACGCUGAUGUGCGAAAGCGUGGGGAUCAAACAGGAUUAGAUACCCUGGUAGUCCACGCCGUAAACGAUGAGUGCUAAGUG